UAUUAAAGUUGUUGCGGUUAAAAAGCUCGUGGUUGAAUCUGUGUCUCGCACUGUCGGUUCACCGCCCGCGGUGUAAACUGGCACGCCCGCGAGUCGUCCUGCUGGUGGGCGGCGCGGCAUGGUGUGGCGACGAGAAAAUCACGUGCCCGCGGCGAUUAACGCUCCUCGGCUCCACGCGCCCGCGUCUCGGGAGGGCCGGGCGCGCGUUGAAAGCGCGGCCGUCGCGGCGCUGGUGGACCUGCCGCCGCAACCACCCGCGGCUCUCAACCUGAAAUCCUACUGCGGUGCUCCUCGCCGAGUCUCGAGGUGGGCCGGCACGUUUACUUUGAACAAAUUAGAGUGCUCAAAGCAGGCUACAACUUUGCCUGAAUACUGUGUGCAUGGAAUAAUGGAACAGGACCUCGGUUCUAUUUUGUUGGUUUUCGGAACCCCAAGCUAAUGAAUAAUAGGGACAGAUGGGGGCAUUCGUAUUGCGACGCUAGAGGUGAAAUUCUUGGACGUCGCAAGACGGACAGAAGCGAAAGCAUUUGCCAAAAAUGUUUUCAUUAAUCAAGAACGAAAGUCAGAGGUUCGAAGGCGAUCAGAUACCGCCCUAGUUCUGACCAUAAACGAUGCCAGCUAGCGAUCCGCCGACGUUCCUCCGAUGACUCGGCGGGCAGCUUCCGGGAAACCAAAGCUUUUGGGUUCCGGGGGAAGUAUGGUUGCAAAGCUGAAACUUAAAGGAAUUGACGGAAGGGCACCACCAGGAGUGGAGCCUGCGGCUUAAUUUGACUCAACACGCGAAAACUCACCGGGCCCAGACACCGGAAGGAUUGACAGAUUGAGAGCUCUUUCUUGAUUCGGUGGGUGGUGGUGCAUGGCCGUUCUUAGUUGGUGGAGCGAUUUGUCUGGUUAAUUCCGAUACCGAACGAGACUCAUAUGUGCAAAGCUGAAACUUAAAGGAAUUAACGGAAGGGCACCACCAGGAGUGGAGCUUGCGGCGCGACCGGUUGGGGUCGACUCGGCUUUUACUGCCGGCGUACAAAUGAAUCUUCUUAGAGGGACAGGCGGCUCCUAGCCGCACGAGAUUGAGCAAUAACAGGUCUGUGAUGCUCUUAAAUGUUCUGGGCCGCACGCGCGCUACGCUGAAGGAACCAGCGCGUCUUCCCUGGCCGAGCGGCCCGGGUAACCCGCUGAACCUCCUUCGUGCUAGGGAUCGGGGCUUGCAAUUUUUCCCCGUGAACGAGGAAUUCCCAGUAAGUGCGAGUCAUAAGCUCGCGUUGAUUUCGUCCCUGCCCUUUGUACACACCGCCCGUC
rnacentral:rRNA from 1 species